rnacentral:rRNA from 1 species
GACGAACGCUGGCGGCGUGCCUAAUACAUGCAAGUCGAACGCAGUGGGGACGGGUGAGUAACACGUGGGUAACCUCCCAUCAGAGGGGAUAACACUUGGAAACAGGUGCUAAACCGCUACUGAUGGAUGGACCCGCGGUGCAUUAGCUAGUUGGUGGGGUAACGGCUCACCAAGGCCACGAUGCAUAGACGACCUGAGAGGUAGAUCGGCCACACUGGGACUGAGACACGGCCCAGACGCCUACGGGAGGCAGCAGUGGGGAAUCUUCGGCAAUGGGCGAAAGUCUGACCGAGCAACGCCGCGUGAGUGAAGAAGGUUUUCGGAGCGUAAAGCUCUGUUGUUAGAGAAGCGGGAUCGAAACAGAAAGCAACGGCUAACUACGUGCCAGCAGCCGCGGUAAUAC